GACGGAGGAUGCAAGUGUUAUCCGGAAUCACUGGGCGUAAAGCGUCUGUAGGUGGUUCGAAAAGUCCACUGUUAAAAACUGAGGCUUAACUUCAAAGAUGCCGUGGAAACUUUCAAACUAGAGUAUGGUAGGGGUAGAGGGAAUUUCCAGUGGAGCGGUGAAAUGCGUAGAUAUUGGAAAGACCACCGAUGGCGAAGGCACUCUACUGGGCCACUACUGACACUGAGAGACGAAAGCUAGGGGAGCAAAUGGG
rnacentral:rRNA from 1 species